CCAAUAGCGUAUAUUAAAGUUGUUGCAGUUAAAAAGCUCGUAGUUGAAUUUCGGGAUCAAUACGUCGGUCAUGCCUCUGGUAUGUACUGGUGUUAUUGGUUUCUCCUUUCUGAGGGGCCAUGAUGUCAUUAAUUUGGUGUCGUGGGGAAUCAGGACUGUUACUUUGAAAAAAUUAGAGUGUUUAAAGCAGGCACGCGCUUGAAUACAUUAGCAUGGAAUAAUGAAAUAGGACGUUCGAUUCUAUUUUGUUGGUUUCUAGGAUCAACGUAAUGAUUAAUAGGGAUAGUUGGGGGCAUUAGUAUUCAAUUGUCAGAGGUGAAAUUCUUGGAUUUAUUGAAGACUAACUACUGCGAAAGCAUUUGCCAAGGAUGUUUUCAUUAAUCAAGAACGAAAGUUAGGGGAUCGAAGACGAUCAGAUACCGUCGUAGUCUUAACCAUAAACUAUGCCGACUAGGGAUCGGAUGAUGUUAAUUUUUUAAUGACUCAUUCGGCGCCUUACG
rnacentral:rRNA from 1 species